rnacentral:rRNA from 1 species
UCCAGACUCCUACGGGAGGCAGCAGUGGGGGAUAUUGCACAAUGGGGGGAACCCUGAUGCAGCGACGCCGCGUGGGUGAAGGAGCGUUUCGGCGCGUAAAGCCCUAUCGGCAGGGAAGAAGGAGGACGGUACCUGACUAAGAAGCCCCGGCUAACUACGUGCCCGCAGCCGCGGUAAUACGUAGGGGGCAAGCGUUAUCCGGAUUUACUGGGUGUAAAGGGGGCGCAGACGGCAGCGCAAGCCAGGAGUGAAAGCCCGGGGCCCAACCCCGGGACUGCUCUUGGAACUGCGCGGCUGGAGUGCAGGAGGGGCAGGCGGAAUUCCUGGUGUAGCGGUGAAAUGCGUAGAUAUCAGGAGGAACACCGGUGGCGAAGGCGGCCUGCUGGACUGCGACUGACGUUGAGGCCCGAAAGCGUGGGGAGCAAACAGGAUUAGAUACCCUCGUAGA